rnacentral:rRNA from 1 species
UGGGGAAUUUUGGACAAUGGACGCAAGUCUGAUCCAGCCAUGCCGCGUGCGGGAAGAAGGCCUUCGGGUUGUAAACCGCUUUUGUCAGGGAAGAAACGAGUUUCUCUAAUACAGAGACUUAAUGACGGUACCUGAAGAAUAAGCACCGGCCAACUACGUGCCAGCAGCCGCGGUAAUACGUAGGGUGCAAGCGUUAAUCGGAAUUACUGGGCGUAAAGCGUGCGCAGGCGGUUAUGCAAGACAGAUGUGAAAUCCCCGGGCUCAACCUGGGAACUGCAUUUGUGACUGCAUAGCUGGAGUGCGGCAGAGGGGGAUGGAAUUCCGCGUGUAGCAGUGAAAUGCGUAGAUAUGCGGAGGAACACCGAUGGCGAAGGCAACCCCCUGGGCCUGUACUGACGCUCAUGCACGAAAGCGUGGGGAGCAAACA